rnacentral:lncRNA from 1 species
GGGUCCUGCCUUUACCUUGCAGUUAGGGAAUAUCCUUGAUGCCUCGCGGCUUCAUCGCCCAUGGCGGCCAACACGCCAACACAUUGGUCGUUUGUACACCAUUCUUCGCUUGACUUCGAUAGCUGCAUCUCACAGUCCCUCUUCUCCAUCCGGCUGAGUUUGGCCCCCUUCAGAUCCAGCUGCCACCACUCUGCACAGGAGUAAAGAAAGUCCCUCUGAGAACCGGCAGGAAUUGUGACUCAUGAUAUAUAAAUGCAGAUGGGUGACAUUCUCUCUACUCACCUGAAUGAGCUCUCGAUUCCCCUGGGCCAGCCACACUGGGACACACACAGAUCUCUGCCAAGGCUCAACCAAGAAAGGUCCUUGUGCAUGGUACGUGAAAGACCAGCCUUACAUGUUCAGCGCGCUCCCAUUGGGCUGCUCAUGGCCGCAGAGAGAACAUCGGAGGCUGCCUCUGUUCCGGUCGGACUUUUCCCCAUCUCCGAACCCCAGAUUCUUCAGUUCUUCUCACUGAAGUCAAGAGUAAUGCACACAGCCCAAGGCUUGUUAGAGAGAACUUCACUCGCCACCCGUGUUCCAGGCAAAGUGCAUCCCUUGCAAGCCUGCGCACUCAGCAGCUGCCACUGGACACAUAAACCAUCCCACUGAACACACAUAAAUGCCAGCGUGGAGGCCCUAGCGGGUGAUGAGUCCUACCUAUUCCCAAGAUUUACAUCCAGGGUGUGAAAGUCAAUAAAAACUAAUUAGAUGUUUACCUC